rnacentral:rRNA from 1 species
UUGAUGACGAGUUUGAUCCUGGCUCAGGAUCAACGCUGGCGGCGUGCCUAAUGCAUGCAAGUCGAACGGUACCACUUCGGUGGUGCCGUGGCGAACGGCUGAGGAACACGUGCGUAUCCGCCUUCUCGUGGGGAAUAACCCGUGGAAACACGGGCUAAUACCGCGUACGCUUGCUUCGGCAAGGAAAGCCUUCGGGCGCGGGAAGAGGAGCGCGCGGCCCAUCAGGUCGAUGGCGGGGUAAUGGCCCACCAUGCCUUUGACGGGUCGCUGGUCUGUGAGGACGGCCAGCCAGACUGGGACUGCGACACGGCCCAGACACCUACGGGUGGCAGCAGCAAGGAAUCUUCGGCAAUGGGCGCAAGCCUGACCGAGCAACGCCGCGUGGAGGACGACGGCCUUCGGGUUGUAAACUCCUUUUCUGAGGGAAGAUUCGGACGGUACCUCAGGAAUCAGCCCCGGCUAACUCUGUGCCAGCAGCCGCGGUAAUACAGAGGGGGCAAGCGUUGUCCGGACUUACUGGGCGUACAGCGCGCGCAGGCGGUCUCAUAUGUGCUUGGUGACAUCGGCUCGCUCAACGAGCCGCGGCCCGAGUAGACAGUGAGGCUGGAGGCAGGGAGAGGGAUGUGGAAUACCCGGUGGAGCGGUGAAAUGCGUAGAGAUCGGGUGGAACACCAGCGGCGAAGGCGGCAUCCUGGCCCUGAACUGACGCUGAGGCGCGAUAGCGUGGGGAGCAAACGGGAUUAGAUACCCCGGUAGUCCACGCCGUAAACGAUGUGGAGCCGGUGCUGGACAGUGAUUGCGCUGUUCGGUGCCCCAGCUUACGCGAUGACUCCACCGCCUGGGAACUACGGCCGCAAGGCUAAAACUCAAAGGAAUUGACGGGGGCCCGCACAAGCAGCGGAGCGUGUGGUUUAAUUCGACGCAACACGCAACACCUCACCUAGGUUUGACAUGCACCUGCAAGCUGCGGAAACGUAGCCGCUUUCGAAGGUGGUGCACAGGUGCUGCAUGGCUGUCGUCAGCUCGUGUCGUGAGAUGUUGGGUUAAGUCCCGCAACGAGCGCAACCCUUGCCCCAUGUUACUUGUGUCAUGGGGGACUGCCGGUAUUGCAUACCGGAGGAAGGCGGGGAUGACGUCAAGUCCGCAUGGCCCUUACGCCUAGGGCGACACACACGCUACAAUGGACGGCGAAAUACGACGCUACCACGCGAGUGGAUGCUAAUCGGGAAGCCCGUCCGUAGUGCAGAUUGGAGGCUGCAACUCGCCUCCAUGAAGCCGGAGUUGCUAGUAACCGCGUGUCAGCAGAGCGCGGUGAAUACGUACCCGGGCCUUGUACACACCGCCCGUCACGUCAUGGGAGUCGGGAACACCUGAAGUCCGUGGGGCGACCUGCCAGCAAUGGUGGGAGCCAGCGGCCGAGGGUGGGCCUGGCGACUGGGACGAAGUCGUAACAAGGUAGCCGUACCGGAAGGUGCCGCUGGAUCACCUCCUUU